rnacentral:lncRNA from 1 species
UUUGUACCAUGUACCAUCUAACAGUAAGUAUUCAUUUUUUUUAAUCUAAUCAUAAAAUAUGAUUCUAUUUUAGCUAAAAUUAUCAAGAAUUAUUAUACACAACUCAUUAAAUUGCAAAAACAAGUUCUUAGAUAGUCACAGCAACAGGGGUAGUAGCUUUGGAUGGUUCACAACUAGUUGGUCUGACAUUAGUUUCUUCACUUAAAGACUUGGGAUGAUGGUUGAUUAUGGUUGAUAAGCUCCAAGAAAAGGUGUUCA